rnacentral:rRNA from 1 species
CCUACGGGGUGCAGCAGUGAGGAAUAUUGGUCAAUGGGCUUACGCCUGAACCAGCCAAGUCGCGUGAGGGAAGACUGCCCUAUGGGUUGUAAACCUCUUUUGUCAGGGAGCAACGCCGGCUACGUGUAGCCGGACUGAGAGUACCUGAAGAAAAAGCAUCGGCUAACUCCGUGCCAGCAGCCGCGGUAAUACGGAGGAUGCGAGCGUUAUCCGGAUUUAUGGGGUUUAAAGGGUGCGUAGGCGGAAUGCCAAGUCAGCGGUAAAAUCGCGGGGCUCAACCUCGCUCCGCCGUUGAAACUGGCGUUCUUGAGAGGGCGAGAAGUAUGCGGAAUGCGUGGUGUAGCGGUGAAAUGCAUAGAUAUCACGCAGAACUCCGAUUGCGAAGGCAGCAUACCGGCGCCCAACUGACGCUGAAGCACGAAAGCGUGGGUAUCGAACAGGAUUAGAUACCCUAGUAGUC